UAUCUAUUAAGACUAUAACCACCAUAGAAGCACGGACGUAUGCGUCCGUGAUAAUAAGUAAAUAAAUUAUUAAAUGUAUUAUCUAGGUCUAUGAGUAGACUCUAUCUAACGAAUGUUCUCAUAAACCAUGAUUAAAUAUAUCUUUAAUCGUGCCAUAGACUAUAAACAUUAUCAUGUUUGUGGAUGUUCCGCUGUGAGAGUUCACUGGUUCCCAAAAUGCGUAAAGUUCACUAUAAAGGCGGUAAAUAGGCAAUAAAUAUUGAGACAUGGAAGAUUUGAAGACAAUUCGAAGGCGUUUAAAAAAAUUUAGGUAACUUCUUACAUAUGUAUCGUAGUAAUCUGAAAAAGUCAGAUUAAAUAUAGAAGGAAAUUCGGGGCACCCCGUUGUAUUUCAUCGAUAUAAAACAAUAUAUUACCUAUUUAAACAAUAGUUUAUCGUUGCUUAGAGAAAUAAAAAAUUAAAUAACCUUAUGUAUUCUACCUUCCCAAUUUCUCACUUACAAUAGUGGCCGCUUCCAUCACCAGUAUUAGCUGUUUUUUUGAAUUCAUCUUAUGUUAUUAUGGACAAUUGUAAAGCCUUUAUUAUUAAUUACAAAUGUAUUAAGGAUGUUUAUAUCCAAAAAAGUAUUAUCAUUGAAAUUUCUGAGAUUAUCAAUUAAAUCAUUAAUAGUGUUAUUAAUUUAUAUAACAUAUAACAUAAUUAUAAUUUAAUGACAAUUUUUGUGCUACCUAUUAUAAGCUAUCUCGAUCUUUUUCGUUCCUGAUUUGAUAAAAUCUGGUUUGUUCAUUCUUGCAUACAAGGAUAUCUGAAUUAUUUUUCGACAUAAAUCUGAAUCCUUUUUCAUUUGCUAUUUUUUUCGAUUUACCAAAUUUACCAAAUUUUACAUUUUGUUAAACGAUCAUUGUAUGUUAUUAUAUGGGUAUAUAAUUUGUGUAAAAUUAUUAUUAAUAAUUUAGAGUAUUAUAUAAAACAAUUGUUGAAAAAAAUAUACAUUGUUUUGUUAUAGGUGAUGUAAAAAUUAAGUUUAUAGAAAGAAAUAGACAAAUAUUUAUAAAGUGUUGUUGGUACUUGGCUGGCUAAAGUCAAAGAAGGAAUGAAAUCUAUAAGUACAUCUUGUAAUUUAUAAUUAUUGUGCGUAAUAAUAAUAUUAUUUCAUAUAAAUACAUUAAUUACAAACAAUAC